GAUGAACGCUCGCUGUGUGCCUAAUACAUGCAUGUUGAACGGGAUGUAGCAAUACAUUCAGUAGCGAAUGGGUGAGUAACACGUACCUAACCUACCUUUAAGACUGGGAUAACUAUUGGAAACAAUAGCUAAUACCGGAUAUAGUUAUUUAUCGCAUGAUGAGUAAUAGAAAGGAGCUUCACAGCUCCACUUAAAAAUGGGGGUGCGGAACAUUAGUUAGUUGGUAGGGUAAUGGCCUACCAAGACGAUGAUGUUUAGCCGGGCCGAGAGGCUGUACGGCCACACUGGGACUGAGAUACGGCCCAGACUCCUACGGGAGGCAGCAGUAAGGAAUUUUCCACAAUGAGCGAAAGCUUGAUGGAGCGACACAGCGUGCAGGAUGAAGUUCUUCGGAAUGUAAACUGCUGUUAUAAGGGAAGAAAAAAUAGAAUAGGAAAUGAUUUUAUCUUGACGGUACCUUAUUAGAAAGCGACGGCAAACUAUGUGCCAGCAGCUGCGGUAAUACAUAGGUCGCAAGCGUUAUCCGGAAUUAUUGGGCGUAAAGCGUCCGUAGGUUCUUUGCUAAGUCUGGAGUUAAAUGCUGAAGCUCAACUUCAGUCCGCUUUGGAUACUGGCAAAAUAGAAUUAUAAAGAGGUUAGCGGAAUUCCUAGUGAAGCGGUGGAAUGCGUAGAUAUUAGGAAGAACACCAAUAGGCGAAGGCAGCUAACUGGUUAUAUAUUGACACUAAAGGGACGAAAGCGUGGGGAGCAAACAGG
rnacentral:rRNA from 1 species